rnacentral:rRNA from 1 species
UACGGAGGAUCCAAGCGUUGUCCGGAAUCAUUGGGCUUAAAGGGCGCGUAGGCGGCUUGUCAAGUCGGGUGUGAAAGCCCCCGGCUUAACCGGGGAAUUGCGCCCGAAACUGACGAGCUGGAGGGGGACAGGGGUGUGUGGAACUUCCGGUGGAGUGGUGAAAUGUGUUGAUAUCGGGAGGAACGCCGGUGGCGAAAGCGACACACUGGGUCUCAACUGACGCUGAGGCACGAAAGCCAGGGGAGCGAACGGG